GAGGGCGGCUUCCGGGAUCCGGCUGGCGGGCGCUUUGUCUCGCCUUCGCCACCGUAGGCUCUUCCUGUGAGUCUCCGCUGCUACUUCCUGGCUCUGGGAGGCCCGGUGCCUCUGCAGCAGCCUCGGCCACCCUGUGACCUGCGGGUAUUGGGACAUCCCUAGCUGACGCCGGGACACCCGGGAAGCCGAGGAACGAAAUCAUAUGGUACAGAGACUGUGUGAAAGCAAAGAAGGUAGUCAGUAUGGACAAGCUGUCAGCCACAUUCCAAAUCUUGAUCUGAAUGAGAACAUUUCUACUGGAUUAAAACAAUGUGAAUGCAGUAUUUGUGGAAAAGUCUUUGUACAUCAUUCCCUCCUUAAUAGGCACAUCCUAGCUCACUCAGGAUACAAACCAUAUGGAGAGAAGCAAUAUAAAUGUGAACAGUGUGGGAAACUCUUUGUUUCUGUUCCAGGUGUUAGAAGACACAGGAUAAUGCACAGUGGAAAUCCAGCUUAUAAAUGUACGAUAUGUGGGAAAGCUUUUCAUUUUCUCAAUUCAGUUGAAAGACAUCAGAGAACUCACACAGGAGAAAAACCCUAUAAAUGUAAACAAUGUGGUAAAGCGUUCACUGUUUCCGGUUCUUGUCUAAUACAUGGACGAACUCACACUGGAGAGAAACCCUACGAAUGUAAGGAAUGUGGGAAAACACUCAGAUUUUCUUGUUUUAAGAUGCAUGAAAGGACUCACACUGGAGAGAGAUGUACCAAAUGUGAUAAAGCCUUCAGCUGUUCCACUUCCCUUCAUGACCAUGGAAGCAUUCAUACUGGAGAGAGACCCUAUGAAUGUAAACAAUGUGGCAAAGCC